rnacentral:rRNA from 1 species
UGCGGAAUUUUGGACAAUGGGCGCAAGCCUGAUCCAGCAAUGCCGCGUGCAGGAUGAAGGCCUUCGGGUUGUAAACUGCUUUUGUACGGAACGAAACGGCUCUGGUUAAUACCUGGGGCUAAUGACGGCACCGUAGGAAUAAGCACCGGCUAACUACGUGCCAGCAGCCGCGGUAAUACGUAGGGUGCGAGCGUUAAUCGGAAUUACUGGGCGUAAAGCGUGCGCAGGCGGUGAUGUAAGACAGAUGUGAAAUCCCCGGGCUCAACCUGGGACCUGCAUUUGUGACUGCAUCGCUGGAGUGCGGCAGAGGGGGAUGGAAUUCCGCGUGUAGCAGUGAAAUGCGUAGAUAUGCGGAGGAACACCGAUGGCGAAGGCAGCCUCCUGGGCCAGUACUGACGCUCAUGCACGAAAGCGUGGGGAGCAAACA